GGCUCUGUGGCUUAGUUGGUUAAAGCGCCUGUUUUGUAAACAGGAGGCCCUGGGUUCAAAUCCCAGCAGGGCCU
rnacentral:tRNA from 1 species